rnacentral:rRNA from 1 species
CUCUGUGACUCCUACGGGAGGCAGCAGUGGGGAAUAUUGCACAAUGGGCGCAAGCCUGAUGCAGCAACGCCGUGUGAGUGAAGAAGGUUUUCGGAUCGUAAAACUCUGUCCUAAGGGAAGAAACAAAUGACGGUACCUUAGGAGGAAGCCCCGGCUAACUACGUGCCCAGCAGCCGACGGGUAAUACGUAGGGGGCAAGCGUUAUCCGGAAUCACUGGGCGUAAAGGGUGCGUAGGCGGCUUAGCAAGCCAGGGUGAAAGGCAUUGGCUCAACCAAUGUAAGCCUUUGGAACUGUUAAGCUUGAGUGCAGGAGAGGUAAGUGGAAUUCCUAGUGUAGAGGUGAAAUUCGUAGAUAUUAGGAGGAACACCAGUGGCGAAGGCGACUUACUGGACUGUAACUGACGCUGAUGCACGAAAGCGUGGGUAGCGAACAGGAUUAGAUACCCCUCGGUAG